rnacentral:rRNA from 1 species
CACGUAGGGUGCGAGCGUUGUCCGGAAUUAUUGGGCGUAAAGAGCUCGUAGGCGGUGUGUCGCGUCGGCCGUGAAAACCUGCAGCUUAACUGUGGGCUUGCGGUCGAUACGGGCAUCACUGGAGUUCGGCAGGGGAGACUGGAAUUCCUGGUGUAGCGGUGAAAUGCGCAGAUAUCGGGAGGAACACCGGUGGCGAAGGCGGUUCUCUGGGCCGUUACCUGACGCUGAGGAGGCCGAAAGCGUGGGGAGCGAACAGG